GCCGCGCCCCGCAGGCCCCGCCGCCGCCAUCUUUGUUGGGGGCAGCAGGGCCGGGCGUCUGGAGAUGCCGAAGUCGUGCGCUGCCCGGCAGUGUUGCAACCGCUACAGCAGUCGCAGGAAGCAGCUCACCUUCCACCGGUUCCCGUUCAGCCGCCCAGAGCUGCUAAAGGAAUGGGUGCUGAACAUCGGCCGCGGCGACUUCGAGCCCAAGCAGCACACGGUCAUCUGCUCAGAGCACUUCCGCCCCGAGUGCUUCAGCGCCUUUGGGAACCGCAAGAACCUGAAGCACAACGCGGUGCCCACGGAGUUCGCCUUCCAGGGGCCCCCGCAGCUGGUGCGGGAGACGGCCGACCCCGACAGCCAGAGCGGGGCCGCCUCCGAGAAGGGAGAGGUCUGCCCUGAGACGGGGCCCAGCGAGUGUGGCCCGGGGAGGAAGAGGGACACGGCGCUUGAGGCGCGGCAGCCGCCCCCGGACACCGGGGGCCCCCGAGCACAGGGCUGGGCUGGCAGAACGGGAGCCGCGGCCAAGGCCCCGGGGCAGCUGGCCAGCCCCCCGGGGGCCGGAAGACCGCCGUCCACGCAGCCACCGGACCACAGCUACGCCCUUCUGGACUUGGACGCCUUAAAAAAGAAACUCUUCCUGACUCUGCGGGAGAACGAGAGGCUCCGCAGGCGCUUGCGGGCCCAGAGGCUGGUGAUGCGGAGGAUGGCCAGCCACCUCCGAGCCCGCAGGGCCGGGCCACGGCCAGAGCAGCAGAGCUGAGCCCGACAGCCGGGCUUCCUCCCUGGAGCCCCUGGGAUGUGGGGCAGGACCCUGGGCUCCGACCCUGGCGCCGCCAAGAGCCCAGCGCUGCAGCCGCAGGUGAAGGCCGCGCAUGUGUAGACAAGUGCAUCCUGAUUCACGUUCUCUCUCUCCUGCUGAAGGGCCAGCAGGCCCCGACCACCAUCGACUCCCAAAAAAGUGACCUCACUUAAAAAAGGAGCAGGAAUGCCAGCCUCGGAGACGUCCUAUCUCUGGACUCCCCGUUUCAGGCAAACGUCUGACAAAACCAAACUGCAGCUUCAGGUUAAGCCUCGUGGUUUAAAACGUGGUUUAAACAGGAAGAACAUGGGUAGGAUGAGGCCUGGGGGUGGGGGCCGCCCUCAAUCGGCUCCCUCCUCAGACGCACAGAUGCGUGGACACACCGGCUUUCGGGAAGGUUUCUUGUGGCCUCUGUACAGCCCGCUUCAGACAAAGCGCCGAGCUGGAGCUGGAGCCGGAGCCGGAGCCGGAGCGGCGCAGGGACUGAGGCCGCAGCUGAGGGCAGGCCUGGCCACCGCGCCACUCCCUGCAUUUCCAUUCACAGCCGCAGCUCGGAGGAAGCUGCCUAGAAGUGGAGAGAACAUUCUCACAGGACCGGACACACUGAACUGGCUGAGAAAGGGGCCGAAGGAAGGGGUUGUGACGGAUUCCUCUGGGCCCGGGGUCAGGAGUGAGGCCUCUGCCCCUCAGGAAGCCGCCAACCAGUUCACACCAGGCUCUCCAGGAGCCGUCUGGCUCCUGAACUAGUCUGCAACCCUGAGAGGCAAGUGGGGAAAGGAGUUCCUGGGAGCAGACCCUCAGAGAGGGGUCCCGCAGGCAUGGCCCCCUUCUCCUCUGAACCCCCUCGUCCCCCUGGCUCCAGCGUGGGCUCCGGCAGGCUGGGCUGAGGCAUGCGCGGGGCUCCUGGGACGCAGUGGCCUGGGACAAGGGGGCCCUGGGACCGGGAGUUACUCCGUCCCAAGCCAGGUGCCCCGGGAUGACUCGAGAUGUUCUGAGAGGGGUGAAAGAGAGA